rnacentral:lncRNA from 10 species
CUUUCCGUGCAUAAGAAGCCGAAUGAGGAAGACAAACAUAAAGAUGAAGUGCUUAAUUCAAGGUCACACAAUGUCGGGGAUGGACCUCCAGAUUUCCUUACUGGAAAACAAGCUCAGGGCUCCCACUGAUUGUACAUUAUGGUGAGACGUGGUCUUGUAACACAGUGGUUAAGAAUGUGACUUUGGAGCCAGCCUGCUAGGGGCUGAAUUCUGACUCAGCCAUUUACUAACUGUGUGACCUUAGGUGGAGUCUCACUCUGUAGCCCAAGCUGGAGUGGCGUGAUCUCGACUCACUGCAACCUCCGCCUCCUGGGAUCAAGUGAUUCUCGUGCCUCAGCCUCCUGAGUAGCCGGGACUACAGGUCACAGAAUUUUCCACACUCCUUGACAGAGGUGCUUAACCCUUAUCCAUCAGCAUUCUCAGACAGCACCUCCGGUUAGGGACAGUAUCUGACCGUCCGACAUCCCUGCAGCCCCCAUGUGUCACACAGACUCAGCCUCAGGUAGAUGGUUUCCGUAGAUGGUGGCUUUCUUUGGACCCUUGACAUCAACCAGUUACUAUUUGGGGACCAGAUGUGCAGAGGUAAUGAAUACCAGGGAAUC